rnacentral:rRNA from 1 species
GAUGAACGCUAGCGGCAGGCCUAACACAUGCAAGUCGAGGGAGAAGCCCUUUCGGGGGCAGAAACCGGCGCACGGGUGCGUAACGCGUAUGCAACCUACCUUUCACAGGGGGAUAGCCCGAAGAAAUUUGGAUUAAUACCCCAUAAUAUUAUUGGAUGGCAUCAUUUGAUAAUUAAAACUGCGGUGGUGAAAGAUGGGCAUGCGUCCUAUUAGCUAGUUGGAGUGGUAACGGCACCCCAAGGCUACGAUAGGUAGGGGUCCUGAGAGGGAGAUCCCCCACACUGGUACUGAGACAGGGACCAGACUCCUACGGGAGGCAGCAGUGAGGAAUAUUGGUCAAUGGUCGGAAGACUGAACCAGCCAUGCCGCGUGCAGGAAGAAUGCCUUAUGGGUUGUAAACUGCUUUUAUAUGGGAAGAAUAAGGUGUACGUGUACAUNGANGACGGUNCCA